rnacentral:rRNA from 1 species
AUUGAACGCUGGCGGAAUGCUUUACACAUGCAAGUCGAACGGCAGCACGGACUUCGGUCUGGUGGCGAGUGGCGAACGGGUGAGUAAUGUAUCGGAACGUGCCCAGUCGUGGGGGAUAACGUAGUGAAAAUUACGCUAAUACCGCAUACGAUCUAUGGAUGAAAGCGGGGGAUCGCAAGACCUCGCGCGAUUGGAGCGGCCGAUAUCAGAUUAGGUAGUUGGGGGGGUAAAGGCCCACCAAGCCAACGAUCUGUAGCUGGUCUGAGAGGACGACAAGCCACACUGGAACUGAGACACGGUCCAGACUCCUACGGGAGGCAGCAGUGGGGAAUUUUGGACAAUGGGCGAAAGCCUGAGCCAGCCAUUCCGCGUGCAGGAUGAAGGCCCUCGGGUUGUAAACUGCUUUUGUACAGAACGAAAAGGUUUCUACUAAUACUAGGAGCUCAUGACGGUACUGUAAGAAUAAGCACCGGCUAACUACGUGCCAGCCGCCGCCGUAA